CUGGCGGCAUGCCUUGCACAUGCAAGUCGAACGGCAGCACGGGGCAACCCUGGUGGCGAGUGGCGGACGGGUGAGUAACACAUCGGAACGUGCCCUGGAGUGGGGGAUAACGCAGCGAAAGCUACGCUAAUACCGCAUAUUCUGUGAGCAGGAAAGCAGGGGAUCGCAAGACCUUGCGCUGAUUGAGCGGCCGAUAUCAGAUUAGCUAGUUGGUGAGGUAAAGGCUCACCAAGGCGACGAUCUGUAGCGGGUCUGAGAGGAUGAUCCGCCACACUGGAACUGAGACACGGUCCAGACUCCUACGGGAGGCAGCAGUGGGGAAUUUUGGACAAUGGGCGCAAGCCUGAUCCAGCCAUGCCGCGUGAGUGAAGAAGGCCUUCGGGUUGUAAAGCUCUUUCGGCCGGGAAGAAAUCGCACAGGUUAAUACCCUGUGUGGAUGACGGUACCGGAAUAAGAAGCACCGGCUAACUACGUG
rnacentral:rRNA from 1 species